GACGAACGCUGGCGGCGUGCUUAACACAUGCAAGUCGAACGGAAAGGCCCCCACUUUUUUGGUGGGGGUGCUCGAGUGGCGAACGGGUGAGUAACACGUGGGUGAUCUGCCCUGUACUUCGGGAUAAGCUUGGGAAACUGGGUCUAAUACCGGAUAGGACCAUGGUUUAGUGUCUCAUGGUGGAAAAAUUAUUGUUUUGGUGCAGGAUGAGCUCGCGGCCUAUCAGCUUGUUGGUGGGGUAAUGGCCUACCAAGGCGUCGACGGGUAGCCGGCCUGAGAGGGUGGACGGCCACAUUGGGACUGAGAUACGGCCCAGACUCCUACGGGAGGCAGCAGUGGGGAAUAUGGCACAAUGGGCGCAAGCCUGAUGCAGCGACGCCGCGUGGGGGAUGACGGCCUUCGGGUUGUAAACUCCUUUCGUUAGGGACGAAGCCGCACCUUUUUUGGGUGUGGUGACGGUACCUUUGUUAAGAAGCACCGGCUAACUACGUG
rnacentral:rRNA from 1 species